UCUCUCGUCCUCCCAAAUCCCAGCGGCACCCCAAUGCACCAAAACCCUAACUUUCUCUCUCGUCCUUCCCCAAAUGCCAGUCCGCCACGCCUUCCCCCAGUCCGCCGCAUCUUCGGCCAUUUCGCUGCGCCCCCAGCUCCAGCCCUAGCUCUAGUUCAGCUAUGUUCCUGUCGUCUUAAGACUCAUCCUUCUCUCCAGAUUCAGCACGACGCUCCGACUUCAGCUCGUCAAAGGGCGACGAAUUAUUGCUGUCACUCUUUAUUUUAGCUUCAGCCGAAGCUUCUGCUGUUCCGAGAAAAAUUGGUAAUGGCUACCGCUUGAUUUCCAUCCAAGAGAACUCUCUGCCUCAGUCCUUCCAUCUCCUCGACAAAGCCUUGCAAUCCGGAAUCAAUUUCUUUGACUCCGCUGAAAUGUAUGGUUCCCGAAAGGGCUGCAUCGUCGUCACUUUUUUGAUUCGACGGAAGAAUCACCGCCCGUGCCAAACCGGCAACAGAACGAUAGAAAUCUGCUACCGCCGCCCUAGUGGUAAGGUUGCCGUCUGUCUUCCCCCUUCUCUCAACUCUGAGUUCGACUCGGUCUCGAGCUAAACCGUAAUGGCUCGGUCCUAAGUGAGUUUUGGUCAUUCAUAGUCAUUUUAGUACUGUAUUAUUUUAUAUCUGAGUUGCCUGAGCGAGUUUUGAUCAUUCAUAGUCAUUUUUAUGUGAUUUUUUGGGUGGAGUUUACGUUUAUGAUUAAUUGAGGUUUGAGAUUGUGAUCUACGGUUGAAGGUUGCAGUUGUUGAGAGUUGAGAUUAACAUCAAAAUCAAAUCUGCAGGAAGGCAAGAAUCCAUUGUAUUCUAUUUUGAGUCUUCAUUGUCAUAGAUGCUUCUAAUAGCUUUCUGGGUUGAGACUUUGGGUGUAGCUGAAGGUUUGUGGUGGAUUAAAUGAGUCGUACGCUGAGUUGAAGAGGCUUGUGAAUUCACAAGAAAAGUUGUACCAGAUGGCUAUCUAGUUGCAUAUUUAAUAUGUUUAGUAUUUUUGUAAGGCAUAAUAGUAUAGAUAAAGCAGUUGUUGAAUUUUGACUAUAUUCAAAUCUUGUAUGAAUUCUUUUUUAUGAUAAUAAUAUAAAAUUAAAUA